rnacentral:lncRNA from 1 species
CUUGGUUUGUUUUGGUCUGGAAGGGCCGUUCAGAUGAAGCCGCCUCUCACGUCGCUUUUCCGUUGCUGAAGGUAUCGCUGAGCCAGGACGAGUCCCUCUGCGCUGGCAUUCGCUCCUGAAGAGCACCGAGGGGAACCAGCGAGGAGCUCUGUGUGGGAUCCAGGCCCAAGGAUGGGGAAGGUGAACAGCACGUAGCCUCGGGCCUGUUCCUGCUAACGCCGCUACAUUAAAGAGGCUAAUGUCGAACAUGCUCCCGGAUUGUGCCGUAAUGUUUCGACAAAUCAAAG